CCUACGGGCGGCAGCAGUGGGGAAUAUUGCACAAUGGGGGAAACUCUGAUGCAGCGACGCCGCGUGAGUGAAGAAGUAUUUCGGUAUGUAAAGCUCUAUCAGCAGGGAAGAAAAUGACGGUACCUGAUUAAGAAGCCCCGGCUAACUACGUGCCAGCAGCCGCGGGAAUACGUAGGGGGCAAGCGUUAUCCGGAUUUACUGGGUGGAAAGGGAGCGUAGACGGUGAUGCAAGUCAGAAGUGAAAGCCCGGGGCUCAACUCCGGGACUGCUUUUGAAACUGUGUAACUGGAGUGCAGGAGAGGUAAGCGGAAUUCCUGGUGUAGCGGUGAAAUGCGUAGAUAUCAUACAGAACACCGAUGGCGAAGGCAGCUUACCAAUCUACUUCUGACGUUGAGGCACGAAAGCGUGGGGAGCAAACAGGAUUAGAUACCCGAGUAGUC
rnacentral:rRNA from 1 species